AUGAAUCAGCAUCUCCAUUCACCCACAAAGCUUACCGAAUUCGCGCGGAGUUUUGAAGAUGAAGAGACUGAAUCUAUACUGGGUCGUUUUGUCAACAAAAUACAACACGUAUACAAUCAAAGCUAUAACACAGUUAAUGAAGUAGCAAAUACUGGUGUAGAUGGCAAUGCAACUGCUCAAGUUUCAAAGUCAUAUUUUUAUGGUGACGAAAAAAUAGAUGAUAUAUCGUUAAAGAAGGCGCACUCUUCAAAUAAUACUAUUAAUUUGUACAAGAACAGUGACAACACAACAACAAAUAAAAUUACAGUAGAUGAAUCUAAAACCGAAACCGUGGAACAAGUUUUGGAUUUACCAAACGAAAUCAGUGAAGGCCGCACCAUGGUUAAUGUACUAAAACGCAUAAGUAACUUAAUGGCCACAAAAAACAGUGAUUUACAAAAUUACAAAGAUACUGAGUUACAUCGUUUUUGGAUGCCUGAUUCCAAGGCAAAAGAAUGCUAUGAUUGCACACAAAAGUUCUCCACCUUUAGGCGAAAACAUCAUUGUCGCCUUUGUGGGCAAAUAUUUUGUUCCAGAUGUUGCAAUCAAGUUGUGCCUGGAAAAAUCAUUAAGUGUGCUGGCGACCUUAAGGUUUGCAAUUAUUGCUCAAAAAUUGUACUUAGCUAUUUAAAAUCUCCAGAUAUAGCUGUGGAUUUGCAUGCAGAUUUACAAGCGUUACAACAAGAUUUAACUCAAAAACUAGAGGAGAAAAGUGAUAUUAAUAGCAUUGAAGUUUCGUCUACACGUGCAAGUUCAAUUCGUAAAAUAUCUGUUGGGUAUCAAGAAGAGCGUUUUGCUACUCAUAUAGGUAAUGGCUUAUCUAUUGAUGAUCGAAAGAACAUACUUCAGCAGUCGAAUUCUUUGAAAACAUUACACGAAGAAAUGUGUCGUCAGUUGAAUACACAGAAUUGCGGCACAUAUUUAAUUGAAUAUAUGAUUUCACAUAAGAAAUCUUCAAAUAAGAUACAAGCUAUUGCAAUAUUAAAUGCAAUGUUAGAUGCAGGGUUUCUACAACCUAUAGUCCCAGAUUCGGAUCAGAUUGAUUUCGAUGAAAAUCUGCAUUAUAAAUUUAUAGAGCUGAAUAAAAAUAAUUUUAAUAAUGCUUAUUUUAAGGACCCGGCCUCCGUCCCUGUGGUCACCACUCCACAGCUUGAUAAUAGUGAUGAACCACAGCCGCCAAAAAAAAUUGAUUCCUCUUUAAGCUUCCAUUCAAUGGGAGACAUGGAAUUCGAAUCUUCAAUGUGUUCCACUACAACUACAACAAAACUUCUGGAAUCUUACUGUGACUACGAAGAACAGUUACUAACUCAAAUGCUCCGUACCUUCCAUUUAGAUUUGCGUUGGUCGAAAGUACUCAUGUCGUUAUGCUGUCGAGCAGCCAAUCAUUUCAAACCAGAAUACAGCACCAAUGACUUAAUGGACAUACGCAAUUAUGUAAAUAUAAAGAAAAUACCGGGUGGCAAACGGCAAGAGUGUACAAUAGUGGGUGGGGUUGUUUUUUCAAAGAACAUCGCCCAUAAAGAUAUGGCUACACGUGUUGAGCAUCCGCGAAUACUGCUUUUACAAUGUCCUAUUGUUUACGAACGUAUUGAAGGAAAGUUUGUUAGUAUAGCAACAGUGUUGUUGCAGGAAAAGGAGUAUUUGCGACGCGUUUGUGAUAGAAUUAUGAGUUUUAAACCACAUGUAGUGUUGGUGCAUAAAAAUGUUGCGGGAAUAGCCCAAGAUAUGCUACGUUCACAAGGUAUUACUUUAGUUUUAGAUGUGAAGCUCUCUGUAUUGGAACGAAUAUCUCGCACACUUCAAUGUGACAUUGUGGUUUCUAUAGAGUCCAAUAUAGCUCGACCACAGCUGGGCACAUGUGAUGCUUUUUAUAUAAGAAAUUUCAGUGAUGGCAGUGGCAUUAAUAAAACGUUAAUGUUUUUUGAAAAAUUGAACAAUCCUCGUGGCUUCACAUGUUUAUUACGUGGCGGCUGUAAUAGUGAGUUAUCAAAGGUGAAAAAAGUUGCUUCGUUUUUGGUAUAUGCUCGCUAUAACUGGCGUUUGGAAAUGUCUUUCCUCUUGGAUGAAUUUGCUGAGCCCCUUACCCCAAAACCACCUAUUUUCAACUCCAAAGAACCAAGUCCAGAUGAUUUAUGCUCUGGUCAUAAAGCGCAUAAAUUACCAAUAUCGAUUGCAAAAUUUGUGGUAGAGCGAAAAGUGGAGGAAAGAGUGCAGCCACAACGCAAAGAAAUUAUCUCAGUGUCGGAGAAUGUUUCUGAUUUUACUGAUCCACUUCGUUCUGUGGAGGCCAAUGCAAAUAACAUAUCAGAAGAUCGACCUGUUGUAAAAUUAGCGGUUGAAACACGUUAUGACAAUCGCUUCCGCACUGCACUCAGCUCAACUUUACUCUCGGUCAGCCCAUUUCUUAAUUUUCCAUUACCGUAUUUAGAAACCGAACAAGGUCGAAAAUGUACUCUGCGCAAACUGUUUGCAGCUGAGUUAUUUUACUCAAAGUUAUGGUCAAACGGGAAUAGCAUACAUUUAGAUCGCAAUGAAAGUUUGGAGUAUAUUAAAAAUGGUACAGAUGAAACUCUGCUAGAACCUCCACAUCCUUUUUUAAGACUAAAAAUCACAACUCCAUGGGAAAAUCGUGAUAUACAAAAUUUGCUAGCAGAAUUUCGGGCAUAUGGUGGUCGUUAUCCAAAGAAGAAUUUGUUUAGAGUGGAGAAGAAAGUUCCUCAGAAGGUGGAUGAGGAAAACUUAUUUAAAGAUGCACUUGAUUUAGAGAACCAUCAAAGGUUGCCGGUACUAUUUUGCAGUUUCUAUUUCAAUCCGAAGUCUGCAUCCUCUUUUUGCGCACCUCCAACUUUGUUAGAUAUGAAAUUUUAUGGGCAACACGAUAUCAUGCUUGGUCAAUUCUUGCAACGCUACUGUUGUCGUUUGAAUUCGAUAUGUAAACUUUGCAAUUUGCCAAUGCUGGGGCAUGUGCGUCGUUACGUGCAUUCCAUGGGAUGUGUGCAAGUCUUCCUAAGCGAAGAUAAUAUAAAAACUGAUCCCAAUCGUAUUUAUUUUACCGCUUGGUGUACAAUUUGCAACGAGAUGACACCGAGUGUACCUCUCUCCGAUAAUUCAAAAUGUCUUUCUUUCGCAAAGUACCUGGAGCUCCGUUUUCAUGGACACUCCUAUAAAAGGCGAACGAUUAUUGGCAGGAAUUCUCCUUCAGUAAGCCCAAGCUGCGUGGAAUAUAAUCAUUGUCAGCAUUCUCUCCAUCGAGAUUAUGUGCACUAUUUCACUUAUCGAGGUGUAGGAGCCAAAUUUCAGUAUACACCUAUUGAAGUAUGGGAUAUUGGAUUACCUCCACUGAUAUUAGAUUUGAAACCACCACAGUUUGAACAUUUUAAAUAUGUGGAAGAAAUUAAAACUUUUUCCAUGAAGGGUCAUGAAGUAUAUACUUGCAUCCAUGAGCGUAUUGCUGAUCUUGCUACCGAGGAUGAUACUUUGGCUAUAGUGCUUAAUUUGAAGACAGCGUUGAACAAAGAUCAUUUUAUUUUUAAACAACAUAUUGAAAUUGUACAAGCAUUACUCACGGAACCAAAAGCCUGUAUACAUGAUAUAAAUGAUGCGCUAUGUAUGUCUAAACGCAUACUUGCCGAAAGUAUUGAUUUGUGGGGUCCAAGAGUACAUGAUAUUGCUUUGGCACAAAAGGUAGUGGCGAAACAACCAACCCAGAUGCAUCCGGAUUCUGUUGGUGCUUGUGCUGAAGAUCUACAUUCUGAAUAUUCGGAUGCGUCACCAAUAGUGUCAGAAAGACCCCGUUUGUUACAUGAUGAUACAUAUUCUCAAACAGAUGAUAACUCCGGCGAGAGAGAUAGUGACUCAACGAGCGCUUUACAUAUUGGAAUAGAAAAGAAGUCAUCAGUGGAGCAACUACUUUCGAUUUCGGCGAAUACCGACAAGAAAUCGAUUAAAAAAAUACUAACCCAGCUUUUCCUUUCUACGGGACCAUCUAAUUUACUUCAAUCACCUUUUUCAUCACAAGAACAUUACACAUUACCGUUGGGAGCAUUUCCGAUACUUGUACAUGAUCAGGACUUAAGUUCGCUUAUCGCAUACAGUCUGACGUCAAGUGACUAUCAAAAAUCAAUUUCCAAUUUAGCAAACAGUAGUUACGUUGAAAACGGUAACGGUGCUGGAUUUGGUCAACCGCCAAAUAUGGAUAGUGUUAAUAAUAUAAACCAAGGCCAUCACAGCCCAAGUUUGAAACUGAAAUUACAAGAAACUUUACAAGAAGGAGAUGAAUGUGACAAAAGAGAUGUUCUAAAUAUCAAUAAUAACACAGAAGAAGACCGUACCAAGUCAAAAACGAGUCCUUCACAUGUUGAGCUAACAUUCCAUGAUAAUGGCAAACAAUUUACAUGUAAAAUUUACUUUGCGAAACAGUUUGAUUUAAUGCGAUUAAAAACAUUAAAACCUCCAAUUGCUGAAAAUUCAUUAUAUAAACAGCUUGAACAGAAGAAAAAACGCGAAGAGCUAAAAGUAUGUCAAAGCCGCAGUGGUCCUGAGAUGGAAUUGGUACACAAACCCAGCGAUAUAUUUAACUCCACACAAACAGACGCAAACAAAUCCAAUCGAAAUGCUUCGCAAACAGAAAUUGAGAAAUGCCGUAAUUGUUUUGCUCGUUCUUUGUGCAGUAGUGUACAAUGGGAGGCGAGGGGUGGUAAAUCUGGUUCAAGAUUCUGUAAAACAUUAGAUGAUCGCUUUGUGUUGAAGGAAAUGACUAAAGGUGAUAUUAAUAUUUUUGAAAAUUUCGCACCUAAUUAUUUUGAGUAUAUCAGCAAAUGUCAGCAACAAAAUCAGCCCACUUUGUUGGCUAAAAUUUUUGGAGUGUUUAAAGUUAUCAUCAAAAAUAAAGAUUCGUUUGUGGAGAAAACAUUGCUCGUUAUGGAGAAUCUUUUUUACGAUUGUGAUAUCAAAAACAAAUUCGACUUGAAGGGUUCUGAACGUAAUCGAAUGGUGGACCCCACUGACCAACAAGGUGAAAUAGUUUUGUUGGAUGAAAAUUUGGUUCAAAACUAUUUAAAAGUGCCUGGACUAUCAGCACUCACUAUGCAAUUAAAAGUAAAUCAACCUCGACAUUGCAAUAGAACAAGACCGGCUGUGAAGAAGGUAAUCAAUAUCGUCACCGAAGCCAAGUUAAAGCCAAUUAUGAAGUGUCUUGGUCUAAACCCCUAUACAUUUUGUCACAUAGCAAAGCAGUUCUGAAAGAUGCUAUUAAUAGAGACUCCACUUUUUUAGAAAAAAAUCAAAUAAUGGAUUACUCGCUUCUCGUAGGUUUAGAUCAUGAUAGCAGUAUAUUAGUAUUGGGAAUAAUCGACUACAUACGGACAUUCACUUUCGAUAAAAAGGUUGAGUCAUUUGUAAAACAAACUGGCAUAUUAGGUGGCAUGGGCAAAUUACCAACAGUUAUAUCACCGGAACGUUAUAAGCAACGAUUUAUUGAUGCAAUGGAUCGUUAUUUUUAUACAGUACCAGAUCGUUGGGAAGGUUUGUCAAAAACUUAAUUAUAUCAGAAUAUAUAAACGAUUCAUGUUGUAUAAUUAAAAAGUAAAUUGAAAUAAAUUCAGGAUCAUAUCUGUUUGCUAAUAUAUCAAAAUAUGAACAAA